UACGGAAGGCAGCAGUGGGGAAUAUUGCACAAUGGGCGAAAGCCUGAUGCAGCUAUGCCGCGUGUAUGAAGAAGGCCUUAGGGUUGUAAAGUACUUUCAUCGGGGAGGAAAAAAACAAAACUAAUAAUUUUAUUUCUUGACGUUACCCGAAAAAGAAGCACCGGCUAACUCCGUGCCAGCAGCCGCGGUAAUACGGAGGGUGUUAGCGUUAAUCAGAAUUACUGGGCGUAAAGAGCACGUAGGUGGUUUUUUUAAAGUCAGAUGUGAAAUCCCUGGGCUUAACCUAGGAACUGCAUUUUGAAACUGAAAUACUAGAGUAUCGUAGAGGGAGGUAGAAUUCUAGGUGUAGCGGUGAAAUGCGUAGAUAUCUGGAGGAAUACCUGUGGCGAAAGCGGCCUCCUAAACGAAUACUGACACUGAGGUGCGAAAGCGUGGGGAGCAAACAGGGAUUAGAUACC
rnacentral:rRNA from 1 species